UACCUGGUUGAUCCUGCCAGUAGCAUAUGCUUGUCUCAGAGCUUAAGCCAUGCACGUCUAAGUACACACGGGCAGUGCAGUGAAACUGCGAAUGGCUCGUUAAAUCAGUUAUUGUUCCUUUGGUCACUCCACCCAGAAAACAAACUGUAUCCUGGGCUGCAUCAAGAGAAGGGUGGCCAGCAGGUCGAGGGAAGGGAUUCUGCCCCUUUACUGCGUUCUCGCGAGCCCCCACCUGGAGUACUGCAUCCAGCUCUGAAGCCCCCAACAUAAGGACAUGGAUGUGUUGGAGUGGGUCCAGAGGAGGGCCAUGAAGAUGAUCAGAGGGCUGGAGCAGCGCUCCUAACAGGAGCUAAGAGAGUUGGGGCUGUUCAGCCUGGAGAAGAGAAGGCUGCGGGGUGACCUUCUAGCAGCCUUCCAGUAGCUGAAGGGGGCCUACAGGAAGGAUGGACAGGGACUUUUCACAAGGGUGUGUAGUGAUAGGACAAGGGGCUCUAAACUAAAGGAAGGCAGACUUAGAUGAGAUAUUAGGAAGAAAUUCUUCACCAUGAGGGUGGUGAAACACUGGACCAGGUUGCUCAGAGAAGUUGUGGCUGCCC
rnacentral:ncRNA from 1 species